UACGGAGGGUGCAAGCGUUACUCGGAAUCACUGGGCGUAAAGAGCGUGUAGGCGGGUAGUUAAGUCAGAAGUGAAAUCCAAUAGCUCAACUAUUGAACUGCUUUUGAAACUGAUUACCUAGAAUAUGGGAGAGGUAGAUGGAAUUUCUGGUGUAGGGGGUAAAAUCCGUAGAGAUCAGAAGGAAUACCGAUUGCGAAGGCGAUCUACUGGAACAUUAUUGACGCUGAGACGCGAAAAGCGUGGGGAGCAAACGGGG
rnacentral:rRNA from 1 species